GACGUAGGGCGCGAGCGUUGUCCGGAUUUAUUGGGCGUAAAGAGCUCGUAGGCGGCUUGUUGCGUCAGCAUGUGAAAACCCGCAGCUCAACUCCGGGCCUGCAGUCGAUACGGGCGGACUUGAGUGUUGCAGGGGAGACUGGAAUUCCUGGUGUAGCGGUGGAAUGCGCAGAUAUCAGGAGGAACACCGGUGGCGAAGGCGGGUCUCUGGGCUGUAAACUGACGCUGGAGGAGCGAAAGCGUCGGGUAGCGAACAGG
rnacentral:rRNA from 1 species